AGCGAACGCUGGCGGCAUGCUUAACACAUGCAAGUUGCACGGACUUUUCGGAGUUAGUGGCGGACGGGUGAGUAACGCGUAGGAACGUGUCCAUGGGUGGGGGAUAACAUUGGGAAACUGGUGCUAAUACCGCAUGAUACCUGAGGGUUAAAGGCUUUUGUUGCCUGUGGAGUGGCCUGCGUUUGAUUAGCUAGUUGGUUAGGUAAAGGCUGACCAAGGCAGUGAUCGAUAGCUGGUUUGAGAGGAUGAUCAGCCACACUGGGACUGAGACACGGCCCAGACUCUUACGGGAGGCAGCAGUGGGGAAUAUUGGACAAUGGGGGCAACCCUGAUCCAGCAAUGCCGCGUGUGUGAAGAAGGUCUUCGGAUUGUAAAGCACUU
rnacentral:rRNA from 1 species